GUAAAUGCUAUCGUUGCCUUCAACCAGGCCAUAAAGUGGCAGAUUACAGGGAUCCGCUUCGUUGUUGGGUUUGCAAAAGAUUCGGCCAUCUCUCUUCAGCCUGCAGAGAGCGUCGCUAUAAAUUCCAGCAAUCAGAGCAGCUUUCACUACCUCUUUCGCACCCACCUUCACCACCACUGCUCUCCUCCUCAGCCUUCCCCCCCCCUCACCACCUCCACUGCCCCGACCUCCAUGGCUUCAGUCCCCAGUGGUCUGGUCUCUCGACCAGAUUUUGGUAGCUGCAUGGUGGCGGCGACAAGCGAGAUGGAAAGACUGAAGCAACUCUUCACGGCAGGAUCAGUGGUGACUUGGUCAGAUGAGGGCCAGAAGGUGGAAAUCGGCACCUUUGCCGAUGACAUCCGCUCGGCUUUCCACAUCCAUCGUUCCGACAUUCAGAUCACAAAAUUCCAUCCAGUAGAUUUCUUCCUCACUUUCGUUAAUCAUAGCGAUCGUGAGGAGGUUCUACAAGAACCAAGAUUGGUGACCCGAAGCGGAAGAGACCUCUUCUCUCGACAGGGUCGGGUCUUCAUGUGGCACUACGGAGUGCCUGAUGAUGUCACCCGGAUGAGGUCGAUGGCUCACCCAAUUCAAGCCUGCAGAACCCUUCCGGCGCCGGAGAGAAGGUCUGAUGAUGAAUACGACCACGAGCAGCGUUCAAGAAGGAGGCAUAGAAGUCGCUCUCUUUGGAACCGCUUAGGCGGUCAUUCGUCAAGCAAAAGCAGAGAGCCUGGUCUUGACAACCGGAGUUCAUACAAUCAAGAGACAAGGGGAAGACAGAGAGAACGAGCUGCUGACAUCAAUAGAAGUAGAAGCCGACAUCUGUCCAGGUUGGUCGAACCUGGAGAAACAAGAAUCAGGCGUCAAUCGGCGACACCUCCGCAUCUCUCUAACCCUGCUCCAGCAGACAAG
rnacentral:lncRNA from 1 species